rnacentral:lncRNA from 7 species
GGGGAAGGCGGACGGGGAAGGCGGACGGGGAAGGCGGACGGGGGAAGGCGGACGGGGGAAGGCGGACGGGGGAAGGCGGACGGAGGAAGGGGGAAAGGCGACGGGAACAAGGGGGAAAGGGAAAAGCAGAAAGAGAAAAAGAGGAAAAGGGGGAAGGCGAAAGGCGAAAGGGGACGGGGGAAAGGGGACGGGGGAGGGGGACGGGGAGGGGGACGGGGGAGGGGGAAAAGCAGAAAGAGAAAAAGGGGGAAAAGGGAAAAGCAGAAAGAGAAAAAGGGGAAAAGGGAAAAGCAGAAAGAGAAAAGGGGAAAAGGGAAAAGCAGAAAGAGAAAAAGGGGAAAAGGGGAAAGCAGAAGAGAAAAAGGGGAAAAGGGGAAAGGCGACGGGGGAAAGGGGGGAAAGGGGAAAGCUGAAAGGGGAAAUGUGAAAGGGAAUAGAGGAAAGGCAACGGGCAAAGGGAAACGUGACGGGAACGAGGGGGACGGGAACGAGGGGGACGGGAACGAGGGGGACGGGAACGAGGGGGACGGGAACGAGGGGGACGGGAACGAGGGGGACGGGAACGAGGGGACAGGGGAAUGGGGGAGGAGAUGUGACGGCAAAGGUGGAAAGGUGAUGGGGAAAGGGGAAACGGACAGGGAAAGGGGAGAGGGGAAAGGGGAAGGAGAAAGGGGACGGGGAGAGGGGAAUGGGGAAGCGAUGGCAAAGGGGGAAAGGCGACAGGCAAAGGGGAGAGAAGAAGUGACGGCAAAGGCAGAAAGGCAACGGGCAAAGGGGAGAGGUGACGGGCAAAGGGGGGAAGUCAAGGAAAGGGGACGGCGAAAGGGCGAAACGACGGGAAAUGGGGGAAGGCGAUGGGGGAAAGGCGGAAGGGGGAGAUGACGGGGAAGGGGGGAAAGGUGAAAGGGGAAAUGGGGGAACGGCGACGGGGAAAUGGACGAGGGGUAAGGGGACGAGGGGUAAGGGGACGAGGGGUAAGGGGACAAGGGGUAAGGGGACAAGGGGUAAGGGGACAAGGGGUAAGGGGACAAGGGGUAAGGGGACAAGGGGUAAGGGGACAAGGAGAAAAGGAGGAAGUGGAAAGUGGAAAAGGGGGAAGUGACGGGGAGAGGGGACGGGGAAGUGGAGAGGGGGAAGGCAACGGGGAGAGGGGCUGCAACGGGGAAAGGGGGGAGAGGCGACAGGGAAAGGGGAGAGGGGAGAGGGGAAUGGCGACGGGGAAUGAGGGAAGGGGACGGGGAAGAGGGAAAGGAGACGGAGAAAGGGGGAAAGGGAAAAGGGGAAAGGAGAAAAGGAGAAAGGGGAAGGGGGGAAAGGGGGAAGCGGGGAAGGGGGGAAGGGGAAGUGACGGCAAAGGCGGAAAGGCAACGGGGAAAGGGGACGCGAUGGGGAAAGGGGGAAACGGGACGGGAGCGAGGGGACGGGGAAAUGGGGGACGGGGAAAUGGGGGACGGGGAAAUGGGGGAAAGUCAAGGAAAGGGGACGGGGAAGGGGGACGGCAAAGGCGGAAAGGUGACGGGAACAAGGGGAAAAGCGACAAGGAAAGGGGAAAAGGGAAAAGCAGAAAGAGAAAAAGGGGAAAAGGGGGAAGGGGGGACGGGGAAAGGGGGGACGGGGAAAGGGGGGGGACGGGGAAAGGGGGGGACGGGGAAAGGGGAAGUGACGGCAAAGGUGGAAAGGCAAUGGGCAAAGGGGAAAGGCGACGGGGAGAGGGGACGCGAUGGGGAAAGGGGGGAGAGGCAACGGGAAAGGGGGAGAAAGGGGGGAAAGGGGGGGGAAAGGGGGGGAAAGGCGACGGCCAAAGGGGGACGCAAUGGGAAAAUGGGGGAAGGUGACGGGGAAAUGGGGGAAGGCAACGGGAAAUGGGGAAAAGUCAAGGAAAGGGGACGGGGGAACAGGAGUAGAGGCGACAAGGAAUGGGGAGAGGUGACGGGGAAAAGGGAAAGGGGAAAGGUGAAAGGGAAUAGAGGAAUGGCGACGGGGAAAGGUGAAAGGACAUAGGAGAAAGGCGAGGGGGAGAGAGGGAAGGGGACGGGGAAAGGGGGAAAGGGGGAAAGGGGAAAGGGGGAAAGGGGGAAAGGGGAAAGGGGGAAAGGGGGAAAGGGGGAAAGGGGGAAAGGGGGAAAGGGGGAAAGGGGGAAAGGGGGAAAGGGGGAAAGGGGGAAAGGGGGAAAGGGGAAAGGGGGAAAGGGGGAAAGGGGGAAAGGGGGAAAGGGGAAAGGGGGAAAGGGGGAAAGGGGAAGUGACGGCAAAAGCACAAAGGCAACGGGGAAAGGGGACGGAGGAAAGGGGGAAGAGAUGGGUAAGGGGGAAGGCGACGGGAGAUGGGGGAAAGUCAAGGAAAGGGGACGGGGAAAAGGAAAGGGGGGAAGGGGAAGCGACGGCAAAGGCGGAAAGGCGACGGGCAAAGGGGACACGACAGAGAAGGGGGAAACAGGACGGGACCACGGGGACGGGACCACGGGGACGGGACCACGGGGACGGGACACGGGGACGGGACCACGGGGACGGGACCACGGGGACGGGACCACGGGGACGGGACCACGGGGACGGGACCACGGGGACGGGACCACGGGGACGGGAACACGGGACGGGACCACGGGACCACGGGGACGGUGAAAGGGGAAGGCGACGGGGAAAGGGGGAAAGGCGACGGGGAAAGGGGGGAGAGGGGAAAGCUGAAAGGGGAAAGGUGAAAGGGAAUAGAGGAAAAGCACGGGCAAGGGAAACGUGACGGGGAAAUGGGGGAAGGCAACGGGAACGAGGGGACGGGAACGAGGGGGACGGGAACGAGGGGACGGAACGAGGGGACGGGAACGAGGGGACGGGACGAGGGGACGGGAACGAGGGGACGGGAACGAGGGGGACGGGAACGAGGGGGACGGGAACGAGGGGGACGGGGGAAGUGAUGGCAAAGGUGGAAAGGCGAUGGGCCAAGGGGAAAGGCGACAGGGAGAGGGGAUGCGACGGGGAAAUGGGGAAAAGUCAAGAAAAGAGAACGGGGAAAAGGGGAAAAGGGGAAGCGACGGGGAAAGGGGAAGGAGAAAGGGGACGGGGAGAGAGAAAAGGGGAAGAGACAGCAAAGGGGAAGGGGGAGAGGGGAAACGGGAACAGGGGGACGGGGAAGCGAUGGCAAAGGGGGAAAGGCGACAGGCAAAGGAGAGAGGAGAAGUGACGGCAAAGGCAGAAAGGCGACGGGGAGAGGGGAAAGGUGACGGGCAAAGGGGGGAAGUCAAGGAAAGGGGACGGCGAAAGGGCGAAACGACGGGAAAUGGGGGAAGGCGAUGGGGGAAAGGCGGAAGGGGGAGAUGACGGGGAAGGGGGAAAGGUGAAAGGGGAAAUGGGGGAACGGCGACGGGGAAAUGGACGAGGGGAAGGGGACGAGGGGAAGGGGACGAGGGGUAAGGGGACGAGGGGUAAGGGGACGAGGGGUAAGGGGACGAGGGGUAAGGGGACGAGGGGUAAGGGGACGAGGAGAAAAGGAGGAAGUGGAAAGUGGAAAAGGGGGAAGUGACAGGGAGAGGGGACGGGGAAGUGGAGAGGGGGAAGGCAAUGGGGAGCGGGGGGAAAGUUAAGGAAAAGGGGCAAGGGGGCAAGGGGGCAGGGGGCAAGGGGGGCAGGGGGCAAGGGGGGCAGGGGGCAAGGGGGGGCAAAGGAGGAAGUGAAAAGUGGAAAAGGGGGAGGGAACGGGGAGACGGGAGAGGGGGAAGUGACGGGGAAAUAUGGGAAGACGAUGGGGAAAUAUGGGAAGGCGACGGGGGAAGGGGGGAAGGGGAUAGGUGAAAGGGGAAAGGCGACGGGGAAAAGGGGGGACGGGGAAAGGGGGGACGGGGAAAGGGGGGACGGGGAAAGGGGGGACGGGAAAGGGGGGGACGGGGAAAGGGGGGACGGGGAAAGGGGGGGACGGGGAAAGGGGAAGUGACGGCAAAGGUGGAAAGGCAAUGGGCAAAGGGGAAAGGCGACGGGGAGAGGGGACACGAUGGGGAAAUGGGGGAAGGCGGCGGGGAAAGGGGGGAGAGGGAACGGGAAAGGGGGGGGAGGGGGGGAAAGGCGACGGCCAAAGGGGGACGCGAUGGGAAAAUGGGGGAAGGCGACGGGAAAUGGGGGAAGGCGACGGGAAAUGGGGGAAGGCGACGGGAAAUGGGGAAAAGUCAAGGAAAGGGGACAGGGGAACGGGGACGGGGGAACAGGAGUAGAGGCGACAAGGAAUGGGGAGAGGUGACGGGGAAAAGGGAAAGGGGAAAGGUGAAAGGGAAUAGAGGAAUGGCGACGGGGAAAGGUGAAUGGACAUAGGAGAAAGGCGAACGGGAGAGAGGGAAGGGGACGGGGAAGGGGGAAAGGAGACGGGGAAGGGGGAAAGGGAAAAUGGGAAAGGGGAAAAGGAGAAAGGGGGAAGCGACAGGGAAAGGGGAAGUGACAGCAAAGGCGGAAAGGCGACGGGGAGAGGGGACGGGGGAAAGGGGGAAGCGACGGGAAAUUGGGGAAAGUCAAGGUAAGGGGACGGGGAAAGGGGGGAAGGGGGAAGGGGAAGCGACGGCAAAGGCGACGGGGAAAGGGGACGGGAACACGGGGACGGGAACACGGGGACGGGAACACGGGGACGGGAACACGGGGACGGGAACACGGGGACGGGAACACGGGGACGGGAACACGGGGACGGGAACACGGGGACGGGAACACGGGGACGGGAACACGGGGACGGGAACACGGGAAAAGGGAAAAGCAGAAAGAGAAAAAGGGGAAAAGGGGGAAGGCGAAAGAGAAAAGGGGAGAGGGAAAAGGGGACGGGGAGAGGGGAGAGGGGAAGCAACGGCAAAGGGGGAAAGGCGACAGGCAAAGGGGAGAGGAGAAGUGACGGCAAAGGCAUAAAGGCAACGGGGAGAGGGGACGGGGGAAAGGGGGAAGGCGACGGGGAAGGGGGGAGAGGGGAAAGGUGAAAGGCAAUAGAGGAAAGGCGACGGGCAAAGGGGGACACGACGGGGAAACGGGGGAAGGCGAUGGGAAAUGGGGAAAAUUCAGGGAAAGGGGGGAAAGGGGAAAAGGAGAAAGCGACAGGGAAAGGGGAAGUGAUGGCAAAGGGGAAAGGCGACAUGGAAAGGGAAAAGGGAAAAGCAGAAAGAGAAAAAAGGGAAAAGGGGGAAAGGGGGAAAGGGGAAAGGGGGAAAGGGGGAAAGGGGGAAGCAACGGGAAAGGGGAAGGGGGAAGCAACGGGAAAGGGGAAAGGGGGAAAGGGGGAAGCAACGGGAAAAGGGGAAGCAACGGGAAAAGGGGAAGCACGGGGAAAAGGGGAAGCAACGGGAAAAGGGGAAGCAAUGGGAAAAGGGGGAAAAGGGAAAGCGACGGAGAAAGGAGGAAGGAGAAAGGGACGGGGAGAGAGGAAAGGGGAAGCGACGGCAAAGCGGAAAGGGGAGAGGGGAAACGGGGAAAGCGGAAACGGAAAGGCGACGGGGAAGGGGAGAGGGGAAUAAGACGGGGGAAAAGGGAAGCAACGGGGAAAUGAAGAAGGUGAUGGGAAAUGGGGACGGGGCGGGGAAAGGGGCGGGGAAAGGGGGCGGGGAAAGGGGGCGGGGAAAGGGGCGGGGAAAGGGGGACGCGACAGGGAAAUGGGUGAAGGCGAUGGGACCAAGGGACGAGACCAAGGGGACGGGGUAAUGGGGGAAGGCGACGGGGAAAUGGGGAGAGGAGAUGUGACGGCAAAGGGGAAAGGUGAUGGGGAAAGGGGAUGGGGAAAGGGGGAAGGCGAUGGGGAAGGGGGGAAGUCAGGGAAAUGGGAAAGAGGAAUCGACGGCAAAGGCGGAAAGGCGACAGGGAGAGGGGAAAUGGGAUGGGGGAAAGGGGACGGGGAGAGGGGAAUGGGGAAGCGACGGCAAAGGGGAAAGGCGACAGGCAAAGGGGAG